GAUGAACGCUGGCGGCGUGCUUAACACAUGCAAGUCGAACGGAAAGGCCCAAGCUUGCUUGGGUACUCGAGUGGCGAACGGGUGAGUAACACGUGGGUGAUCUGCCCCGCACUUCGGGAUAAGCCUGGGAAACUGGGUCUAAUACCGGAUAGGACAGUGGUUUGGAUGCCAUUGUGGAAAGUUUUUUCGGUGUGGGAUGAGCUCGCGGCCUAUCAGCUUGUUGGUGGGGUAAUGGCCUACCAAGGCGUCGACGGGUAGCCGGCCUGAGAGGGUGUACGGCCACAUUGGGACUGAGAUACGGCCCAGACUCCUACGGGGGGCAGCAGUGGGGAAUAUUGCACAAUGGGCGCAAGCCUGAUGCAGCGACGCCGCGUGGGGGAUGACGGGCUUCGGGUUGUAAACUCCUUUCGCUAGGGACGAAGCGUUAUGUGACGGUACCUAGAGAAGAAGCACCGGCUAACUACGUG
rnacentral:rRNA from 1 species